UAAGAUAUCGUAGGCAUGGUACACGGU
rnacentral:piRNA from 1 species